ensembl:lncRNA
AUACUGGGAUGGGUUAUCAUUUCCAUCUCCACAGGAUCUUCCUGACCCAAGGAUAGAAUCUUUGUCUCCUGAGUCUCUUGCAAUGGCAGGUGGAUUCUUUAUUGCUGAGCCACCAGGGAAGCCCAUAUGAGUUUAAGGUUGCCCCAAACCUUGGGGGUUUAUAAGGAAUGGAGUUUAGGGACGAGUUCCAUCUCUAGUCUUCAGCUCCAAGAUGUUCCAACUACAAGGGUGAUGUUAAUGAAGCUUCAGCCUCAGUGCCCCUCCCUUGCACAGGACCCCUCUUAGAGGGACCCUGGAAUGUGUUUGUAGGUCAGAUACUAGAUAACUUUCAGAAGUGUGAUAUUUUAACUUCAGUGGGUGAAGACUACUGCCUCCUUGCACCCACCUCCAUCUCCUCCAUCACCCCUGCUGGCUGGUGUAGGCCCUGGAGGACAUCUUGACCAUGAACAUGGAGACCACAACACGUGCCUAGUUGGAUCCUCCACUGGCCAGACACAGCGACUCCCCAAUUCACUGAUUCAGCAGAGAGGGAGUGCCAGUUCUGUGCAGGCCUAUUCUGAGGAUUCAGCAGUGAACAAGAUGAAUACAGAGGGAAGAUCGUGUGGUAUCGCAGAGAGAAGAACGGUAAUUACAAGUGAAGGAGAGGGUCCUCAAAAGGUACCUCUCUGCUGACAUCGUGAUCUUGGACCUCCAGCCUCCAAGACUGGGAGAAAAUAAAGUCAGUUAAGCCCCCAG